CCAAUUUCCAAGUUCGUCGAGGUUGAUUAUGAUGAGCAGUGGAAUUCAAAAUACAGUGGGCUUUGGUUGUUUUUUUCUUUCUUGAAAUGGUAAUAUUUUAUAUUAAGGAUGUGAAUAUGUUGGUUUUUAAAUUUUGCAGCAUGCUACUCCAACUACAUCCAAUUUGUGAAUAAGUGUUUCAUAAAGUCACAAUUUUCAGUGUUAAUUUUCUACCAAAAAAUACAAUGGAUUAUGUAAAUAUGUAGCACAAUCACUUCAUAUUGAAGACACGUCCGAUUUCCUACACCGUAUCGGACACCAACACAACACAUGUGAAUGACACAGGGAGACUAUUGUUUAUGCUUAUAGAUCAGGCUACCCAAAGGUGUUUCAAUUCCAGUGACACUAAAGGUUCUGGAGUUUGAACUUUUCUAUUUUUAUACAAUCCAAGAAAUUGCGUCCAGUAUAUCAUUUGUCGCCAUAAGCCUAAUGGAUAUGUUCAACAUAUGAGGAGUUGUGGAAGAGGUCAAAAUUCAGAGACUGAUGCUGGUGUUUGGUGUGAUACAAA